rnacentral:rRNA from 1 species
CAAUAGCGUAUAUUAAAGUUGUUGCAGUUAAAAAGCUCGUAGUUGGACCUUGGACCUGGACAGGCGGUCCGCCUCACGGCGAGUACUGUCUUGCUGGGUCUUUCCUCUUGGUGAUCUGUUGUUUCGGCAGCAGGGAACCAGGACCUUUACUUUGAAAAAAUAAGAGUGUUCAAAGCAGGCUCGACGCCGGAAUAUAUUAGCAUGGAAUAAUAAAAUAGGACGUGCGGUUCUAUUUUGUUGGUUUUUGGAAUCGCCGUAAUGAUUAAUAGGGACAGUCGGGGGCAUUAGUACUCACAUGCUAGAGGUGAAAUUCUUGGAUUUGUUAAAGACGGACUACUGCGAAAGCAUUUGCCAAGGAUGUUUUCAUUGA